UGCAUCAUGCGUGACCUCC
rnacentral:miRNA from 1 species